CAGCAGCCUCUGCCACAAUAAGCACUCCUUCAACUGAGACUCAAACAUCUACAACUCCUUCAACAUCUCCUGCCAGUAGUACAAGAGCUUCUGGAACUGAGUCUCAAACAACAGAACCUACAACACCCCCUGCCAGUACAAGAGCUUCUACAACUCAAUCUCAAACAGCAGCACCAACAA